GUCUACGGCCAUGCUACCCUGAACAAGCCUGAUCCUGUCUGAUCUCAGAAGCUAAGCAGGGUCAGGCCUGGUUAGUACUUGGAUUGGAGACCACCUAGGAAGACCAGGUAAUAUAAGCA
rnacentral:rRNA from 1 species